rnacentral:rRNA from 1 species
GUGGGGAAUCUUCCACAAUGGACGAAAGUCUGAUGGAGCAACGACGCGUGAGUGAAGAAGGGUUUCGGCUCGUAAAGCUCUGUUGUCGGGGACGAAUGUGCAGUAUUUGAAUAAAGUAGUGCAAUGACGGUACCUGACGAGGAAGCCACGGCUAACUACGUGCCAGCAGCCGCGGUAAUACGUAGGUGGCAAGCGUUGUCCGGAAUUAUUGGGCGUAAAGGGAGCGCAGGCGGGAAGGUAAGUCGGUCUUAAAAGUGCGGGGCUCAACCCCGUGAUGGGAUCGAAACUAUCUUUCUUGAGUGCAGGAGAGGAAAGUGGAAUUCCUAGUGUAGCGGUGAAAUGCGUAGAUAUUAGGAGGAACACCAGUGGCGAAGGCGACUUUCUGGACUGUAACUGACGCUGAGGCUCGAAAGCCAGGGGAGCGAACGGGAUUAGAAACCCGGGUAGUCC